GACGAACGCUGGCGGCGUGCCUAAUACAUGCAAGUUGAGCGCUGAAGGUUGGUACUUGUACCGACUGGAUGAGCAGCGAACGGGUGAGUAACGCGUGGGGAAUCUGCCUUUGAGCGGGGGACAACAUUUGGAAACGAAUGCUAAUACCGCAUAAAAACUUUAAACACAAGUUUUAAGUUUGAAAGAUGCAAUUGCAUCACUCAAAGAUGGUCCCGCGUUGUAUUAGCUAGUUGGUGAGGUAAAGGCUCACCAAGGCGAUGAUACAUAGCCGACCUGAGAGGGUGAUCGGCCACGUUGGGACUGAGACACGGCCCAAACUCCUACGGGAGGCAGCAGUAGGGAAUCUUCGGCAAUGGACGAAAGUCUGACCGAGCAACGCCGCGUGAGUGAAGAAGGUUUUCGGAUCGUAAAACUCUGUUGGUAGAGAAGAACGUUGGUGAGAGUGGAAAGCUCAUCAAGUGACGGUAACUACCCAGAAAGGGACGGCUAACUACGUG
rnacentral:rRNA from 1 species